AUUGAACGCUGGCGGAAUGCUUUACACAUGCAAGUCGAACGGCAGCACGGGUGCUUGCACCUGGUGGCGAGUGGCGAACGGGUGAGUAAUAUAUCGGAACGUAUCCAAUAAUGGGGGAUAACUAAUCGAAAGGUUGGCUAAUACCGCAUACGCCCUACGGGGGAAAGCUAGGGACCUUCGGGCCUGGCGUUAAUGGAGCGGCCGAUAUCUGAUUAGCUAGUUGGUGGGGUAAUGGCCUACCAAGGCGACGAUCAGUAGCUGGUCUGAGAGGACGCCUAGCCACACUGGAACUGAGACACGGUCCAGACUCCUACGGGAGGCAGCAGUGGGGAAUUUUGGACAAUGGGCGCAAGCCUGAUUCAGCCAUUCCGCGUGAGUGAAGAAGGCCUUCGGGUUGUAAAGCUCUUUCGCAAGGGAAGAAAACUUAUCCUCUAACAUAGGAUGAGGUUGACGGUACCUUGAUAAGAAGCACCGGCUAACUACGUGCCAGCAGCCGCCGUAACAC
rnacentral:rRNA from 1 species